UACGUAGGGUGCAAGCGUUGUCCGGAAUUAUUGGGCGUAAAGAGCUCGUAGGCGGUUUGUCGCGUCUGCUGUGAAAACUCAGGGCUUAACCCUGAGCCUGCAGUGGGUACGGGCAGACUAGAGGUGUGGUAGGGGAGAUCGGAAUUCCUGGUGUAGCGGUGGAAUGCGCAGAUAUCAGGAGGAACACCGGUGGCGAAGGCGGAUCUCUGGGCCAUAACUGACGCUGAGGAGCGAAAGCAUGGGGAGCGAACAG
rnacentral:rRNA from 1 species